rnacentral:rRNA from 1 species
UAGGGAAUCUUCGGCAAUGGACGGAAGUCUGACCGAGCAACGCCGCGUGAGUGAAGAAGGUUUUCGGAUCGUAAAGCUCUGUUGUAAGAGAAGAACGAGUGUGAGAGUGGAAAGUUCACACUGUGACGGUAUCUUACCAGAAAGGGACGGCUAACUACGUGCCAGCAGCCGCGGUAAUACGUAGGUCCCGAGCGUUGUCCGGAUUUAUUGGGCGUAAAGCGAGCGCAGGCGGUUAGAUAAGUCUGAAGUUAAAGGCUGUGGCUUAACCAUAGUACGCUUUGGAAACUGUUUAACUUGAGUGCAAGAGGGGAGAGUGGAAUUCCAUGUGUAGCGGUGAAAUGCGUAGAUAUAUGGAGGAACACCGGUGGCGAAAGCGGCUCUCUGGCUUGUAACUGACGCUGAGGCUCGAAAGCGUGGGGAGCGAACAGGAUUAGAUACCCUGGUAGUCCACGCCGUAACGAUGAGUGCUAGGUGUUAGACCCUUUCCGGGGUUUAGUGCCGCAGCUAACGCAUUAAGCACUCCGCCUGGGGAGUACGACCGCAAGGUU